rnacentral:rRNA from 1 species
CACGUAGGGCGCAAGCGUUUGUCCGGAAUUAUUGGGCGUAAAGAGCUCGUAGGCGGUCUGUUGCGUCCGCUGUGAAAACUCGGGGCUUAACCCCCGAGCCUGCAGUGGAUACGGGCAGACUAGAGGUAGGUAGGGGAGAAUGGAAUUCCCGGUGUAGCGGUGAAAUGCGCAGAUAUCGGGAGGAACACCGGUGGCGAAGGCGGUUCUCUGGGCCUUACCUGACGCUGAGGAGCGAAGCG